UGCCAUUUAAUUUCACACUUUAGAAAGUAAAUGAUGUAGGAAGAUGGAGUUUAAGGUCAGCAAUAUCUUAAUCUUGUUUGCAUAAAAUUUUCAACAAUUGAUUUAUAUUUUUAUUGUUUUUUUUGUUUUUGUUUUUAUAGCAAUAUCUGGCAACACUGUUGACACAACUUAUUUUUAUGUUUAUCUGCUUACGCCCAGGACAUCCAAGAUGUAGGUGACCUUGUUUCUUUAGGAGAAUAUAAACAAAAAUUUGUAACUCAAACCGCUGCAGUCUGUCAAUCAUUUUAUUGUGAGUCAAUAGGCACACAAUCUUUGAGAGAGGAAAAAAAGAUGACACCAGCUGGUUGUUAUAGGUUAUUUCUAUAAGAGCUGUCGCUGCUGAAUGUGAUGCGGUUCUGACACAAAUCUUAUUUAUUUUUUUAUUUUUAGGUCUUAAAAUCUCGUUAGAUGAGGGAUGUUAGAUGAGUGAGACAGCGCUGGGAUGCUUCAGGAAAGUUUUGAAAACCAUUUCAAAGACAUGUUCUUAAUUGUGACUUUUACAUGCUUGCACAGUUUUAAGGCAGCUUAAAUAGUCUUUUUGGUAGCUUCAUGGCUUAACUGACCACAACAUUGCAUGCACAGUUUAUUUUGCGCUUUGAAAUUACAGGUUAUAGGCUACAGUGCACAUUUGUAUCGUUAAGCGUGCAACAGAAAAGUGUUCUAGCACAGUAAGUGGAGCAAAUGUCCGAAAUGUCUCCUGUUUGAUGUGGUCGCAAAGUUGUUCGACUGAAUAAUAGCACUUGUCAAGAGAAAAACUGACAGAAGCAGCAGUUGUGAGUGGAUCACAACUGCAUUAAUAAUUUCAUAUUUUUUAAUAUUAACAAGUUUUAGGUUAAGUUUUAACAAGUCCUGUUUUAGAACAUGGAUGUAUUGUCAUGAGCCACAGGGUUUAAUUUGGGUUUGUAUGUGCAUGUUUUCUCAAAGAUUGUGUGUCCAUUGACCUGCAGUAUAUGAUUGAUAGACUGCAACGGCCUGAGUUAAACAUCUUCAUUUGUGUUCUAUUGAAGUCACCUACAUGCCGUAUGCCCUGAUGUUUGUAUCCAGAUCAGAUGGUGGAUCAACAACCAGAGAUGACAUUCAUCUAAGACCAGAAUGCAACUUUGAUGAUUUGUAGCUAAGUGUGAGAUUUUCGCAGAAGAUUUUUCACAGCCCAUGAAAGUUAUUUUUUUCCCCCUACUAUGUAGCUCCAUGAUGUUAUUAUGGAGGUGUGGACGAGGAUGCCAGCAACAACCUGUGCAGCUCUGGUGAAUGCCAUGCCUAGGAGGAUUAAGGCGGUGCUAAAUAACAAUGUAAUGGAGAUUUACAACUAAUCACGGAAUAAGAUUUACUGAUGAUACACACAUCUAGCUGCCAGUAAGUUACUUUAAAAUUUACAGCAGCCUUUUUAUAGUGUGAGCUAUUCCUUUAACUGCUUUUUGAAGAAAAAAAAAAACGUGUUUACCUUAUCAAUAGACAUGAGGGCUGAAGUUGUUUUCACUGAAGUGCAACCUGUUCAUAUGUUAACAUCUCAAAAAAACGUGUUUUAAUGUUUCAUGACACUUUCAUUACAUUAACUGUCAGC